rnacentral:misc_RNA from 1 species
AUUAGGAUCAUGUCAAACAGAUGUAAAUGCUUAACGACUAUAGGACAGCAAAUUAAACAAUUGAUAGAGACAUUAGAAUCUGCUUUUUUAUAUUUUAUAAAAAAAAAAUUAGAUUUAUGAGAGUGGACUAUGUAGAUAUAUUUUUCUCACCAGAUAUAAAAUUACUUAUUACUCGAUAUUUCUUUUGAUAAUUUUUAUUUAAUCAUUCUAUAUGUUUAAUUUAAUUAAUUAUAUCUAUUCAUUAAAAUUUGAUUUAUUAAAAAAAUUUUAAAUUAUAUAAA